GAAGCUAACACAAUUUGCGCCAACGUGGCUUGCUGAAUUGUCAUUUGCGAUCCCUUCGUGGCUGGAUGACAAAGCACCACCUGUCUUGGACAAUGGUUCUUGCACAACCUUCAUGCAGCAGUCACACUCCCCACGCGAAGGCCUUGUGCAUAAAAGAGUUUAGCAUGCACCUUAUUCUCGUCCCUCGAUGUAUAUAUGAACUGACCUUCACAAUCUAAGUUAUCAUCAUUUGGACUCAAUCUAACUCUUUCUUUUUUUCACUUCCUUGAUAAAAAAACAAAAAAUGUGUCCCGUUUCAAAUAUUAGCAUUGCCUCGUGGUGCAAGAAGCAUGAAAAUGGAGAUGGUAGAGUCACUGCCAAAUUCGAGGAUCUUUCACCGGUAACAUGCUCAGAAGGGGACGGGGACGAUGACGAUGACGAUGAUGAUGAUGGCGACUAUGAUUUUGCUCCGGCUGCAUAAGUAUAGAUAGACUAGUACUACUUGUUAUUAACUUAAUUAGCAUAGCUAGAGUUAGCUCAAGUUUUGUAAUGAAGACUAUUAUAUUCUAUGGUCAGUGGUCACAUAUAUAAUAAUAUAGUAAACCUAAUUAUAAAUAAUUAGUAUUCACAGGGCUCUUUUCCUUCUGAUGUCAUCUUCAUCUACAUGUUCGUCCUGCGACAGGUGACCUAAUGUGUGUAUGUCAGGGUGGCCUUGCAAAAUACGUACUAUGUACGCAGCCAGAAAAAGGAAAAACCUAAUAACAUUAUUUAUUUCUAAUAUCAUUUAUUAAUCGUCUUUGAAAUUUGAAAGCAAAUUUGGUUGAUAAA
rnacentral:lncRNA from 1 species